AUCACAAAAGUCUAGACGAGAUUCUUCAGAUUGCGCUUACAUUUGAAGCAGCGGAACGUGAAGUAAGUCAUGGGAUGACAACACAAGACGAUUCACAUCAGCGAGACGAUUCUAAUACAAUAAACGUUGCAACAAUCCAAAGUCAGAAGUCCAAGUUGUUCAAACAACCAGAAAAGAAGACUCAACCUUUUGGUAAGAAGUCACAGACUCAGAGUAAUCGUUGUUAUAGCUGUGGAGGAUAUCAUUUGCGCAGCCAGUGUAAGUUUUGCAAUGCUAAAUGCUAUCGCUGCAAUAAGACUGGUCAUAUUAGUAAGGUAUGCCGAUCGGUAACAGCUAUUGUCCAAACACUACAAGAAACGGAAUCUGGAGUAAUUACAGUACUAGCUCCUGUGCAAGAAAAAAAAGACAGACUCAUUACCACCCUAUCAAGUAGUGCAGUUACCUAAAUUUGGUAAACGCCUACGUCUGAUAGUGGAUACUGCUUCACCAAUCACGUUUAUCAAUGCUAAGACAUGGAUUGAUAUUGGGAAGCCCAAACUGUCAUCAACAUCAAGAAUACUUGGAGCAUUUGAAGGUCAGAAAAUUAUACCUAUUGGUUACUUUGAAACAUCAGUGUGUCGGGAUGAAAAUCCUUCAAUUAUCAAGGUCAUGCAAUUUUAGGUUUCCAACAACGGAGUAAAUAUUAUUGGUAGAGAUGGCCAACAGACGUUAAAUAUUCAAGUCAAUUCCCAACAGUUCAGUACAGUUGCAGUGACAACUGGGAGUACACUUAACCUAAAAGACAUUUUGCAAGUACAUUCAGAACUUUUCAAGACAGAGUUAGGAUGUUGUACUCUAACUGAAGCACAGUUAGAAAUACGUGAAAAAGUUUCUCCAAAGUACUUUAAACCUAGGAAACUACCAUUCGCUUUCAAACCUAUUGUGGGAGCAGAAUUAGAGCAUCUGGAGAAAGCAGGUGUGAUAGAAAAAGUUAGUCAUUCAGACUGGGCUACACCAAUUGUGACGGUAAAGAAACCUGGAGGCAAAAGCAGAAAAAUUAUCAGUAGAAACAAAGAAACAGGAAGUUGUCAAGGAACAGAAGAAAGAAAGACAUUUGGAAAGACGUAGUAAACUUUAUGACUUGCAGCAAGCGGAUGAAGAAGACUAUAUUACCACAGAAAAUCUGGACGAAAGGUUGCAGAAGCAUUGGAAAGACUGAGGGACUACGACUUUGCGCUCACUCAAUCAGGUGCAGUGUUGACUGCAGAACCAAGAAAACACGACUUAGUGCCA